UGGGGAAUAUUGCACAAUGGCGCAAGCCAUGACUGCAGCCAUGCCGCGCUGUAUGAAGAAGGCCAAUUCGGGGCUUUGGUUAAAGAUACUUUUCAGCGAGGAGGAAGGCAUUGUGGUUAAUAACCACAGUGAUUGACGUUACUCGCAGAAGAAGCACCGGCUAACUCCGUGCCAGCAGCCGCGGUAAUACGGAGGGUGCAAGCGUUAAUCGGAAUUACUGGGCGUAAAGCGCACGCAGGCGGUCUGUCAAGUCGGAUGUGAAAUCCCCGGGCUCAACCUGGGAACUGCAUUCGAAACUGGCAGGCUAGAGUCUCGUAGAGGGGGUGAGAAUUUCCAGGUGUAGCGGUUGAAAUUGCGUAGAGAUCUGGAGGAAUACCGGUGGCGAAGGCGGCCCCCUGCACGAAGACUGACGCUCAGGUGCGAAAGCGUGGGAGCAAACA
rnacentral:rRNA from 1 species